rnacentral:tRNA from 1 species
GGGGCGGUGGCGAAACUGGCAGACGCGGCGGACUUAAAAUCCGCUUGGGUAACCCCCAGUGUGGGUUCGAGUCCCACCCGCCCUA